rnacentral:rRNA from 1 species
GAUGAACGCUGGCGGCGUGCCUAAUACAUGCAAGUCGAGCGAACGGACGAGAAGCUUGCUUCUCUGAUGUUAGCGGCGGACGGGUGAGUAACACGUGGAUAACCUACCUAUAAGACUGGGAUAACUUCGGGAAACCGGAGCUAAUACCGGAUAAUAUUAUGAACCGCAUGGUUCAAAAGUGAAAGACGGUCUUGCUGUCACUUAUAGAUGGAUCCGCGCUGCAUUAGCUAGUUGGUAAGGUAACGGCUUACCAAGGCAACGAUGCAUAGCCGACCUGAGAGGGUGAUCGGCCACACUGGAACUGAGACACGGUCCAGACUCCUACGGGAGGCAGCAGUAGGGAAUCUUCCGCAAUGGGCGAAAGCCUGAUGGAGCAACGCCGCGUGAGUGAUGAAGGUCUUCGGAUCGUAAAACUCUGUUAUUAGGGAAGAACAUAUGUGUAAGUAACUGUGCACAUCUUGACGGUACCUAAUCAGAAAGCCACGGCUAACUACGUG